rnacentral:lncRNA from 1 species
UGUCGAGAGCCUUCUUAGAGGCCGGGGAUGUUUGGUAGGAACUUUCCAUCUUUGUUGAGAUGAGGUUCCUUAGGUCUUUGGUGUGGUUUGUUUUUUGUCUGUUGCCGGCGUAAUUCGUUGCUUUCCUUUUUAAUUUUUCUCCUCUUUUCGAGUGAGGGUCCUCCCCUUGCUUUUUGGGAGGUCGCGCAGAAGUGUAGAGGUGCC